GAUGAACGCUGGCGGCGUGCCUAAUACAUGCGAGUCGAGCGAACAGAUGAGGAGCUUGCUCCUCUGACAUUAGCGGCGGACGGGUGAGUAACACGUGGAUAACCUACCUAUAAGACUGGGAUAACUUCGGGAAACCGGAGCUAAUACCGGAUAAUAUAUUGAACCGCAUGGUUCAAUAGUGAAAGACGGUUUUGCUGUCACUUAUAGAUGGAUCCGCGCCGCAUUAGCUAGUUGGUAAGGUAACGGCUUACCAAGGCAACGAUGCGUAGCCGACCUGAGAGGGUGAUCGGCCACACUGGAACUGAGACACGGUCCAGACUCCUACGGGAGGCAGCAGUAGGGAAUCUUCCGCAAUGGGCGAAAGCCUGACGGAGCAACGCCGCGUGAGUGAUGAAGGUCUUCGGAUCGUAAAACUCUGUUAUUAGGGAAGAACAAAUGUGUAAGUAACUAUGCACGUCUUGACGGUACCUAAUCAGAAAGCCACGGCUAACUACGUG
rnacentral:rRNA from 1 species